rnacentral:rRNA from 1 species
UGGAGUUUUGAUUGUGGCUCAGAUUGAACGCUGGCGGCAGGCUUAACACAUGCAAGUCGAGCGGGGAAGGGUAGCUUGCUACCUGACCUAGCGGCGGACGGGUGAGUAAUGCUUAGGAAUCUGCCUAUUAGUGGGGGACAACAUUCCGAAAGGAAUGCUAAUACCGCAUACGCCCUACGGGGGAAAGCAGGGGAUCUUCGGACCUUGCGCUAAUAGAUGAGCCUAAGUCAGAUUAGCUAGUUGGUGGGGUAAAGGCCUACCAAGGCGACGAUCUGUAGCGGGUCUGAGAGGAUGAUCCGCCACACUGGGACUGAGACACGGCCCAGACUCCUACGGGAGGCAGCAGUGGGGAAUAUUGGACAAUGGGCGAAAGCCUGAUCCAGCCAUGCCGCGUGUGUGAAGAAGGCCUUUUGGUUGUAAAGCACUUUAAGCGAGGAGGAGGCUACUGAGAUUAAUACUCUUGGAUAGUGGACGUUACUCGCAGAAUAAGCACCGGCUAACUCUGUGCCAGCAGCCGCGGUAAUACAGAGGGUGCGAGCGUUAAUCGGAUUUACUGGGCGUAAAGCGUGCGUAGGCGGCUUUUUAAGUCGGAUGUGAAAUCCCUGAGCUUAACUUAGGAAUUGCAUUCGAUACUGGGAAGCUAGAGUAUGGGAGAGGAUGGUAGAAUUCCAGGUGUAGCGGUGAAAUGCGUAGAGAUCUGGAGGAAUACCGAUGGCGAAGGCAGCCAUCUGGCCUAAUACUGACGCUGAGUACGUAAUGUAUGUGGUUUA